AGUUUUGUAAAAGUAAAGAGGGACAAAGAGGCAAGCUAGGGAAGAGAUACUGGGACGGAAGAGAACGCCAGGCACACAUUGGUCAAUUUCAGGCGCAUUUAACCUUUACAACAACUCUGUGGAGAGGAGGACAAUCCUCCCGAUUUUGCGAAAGCGGUAGCGAGCUCAGAGACUUUAAAUGAAUUGCCCGAGGUUGCACAA